rnacentral:rRNA from 1 species
CCCUACGGGUGGCUGCAGUGGGGAAUAUUGCACAAUGGGGGAAACCCUGAUGCAGCCAUGCCGCGUGUGUGAAGAAGGCCUUCGGGUUGUAAAGCACUUUCAGCGAGGAGGAAAGGUCAGUAGCUAAUAUCUGCUGGCUGUGACGUUACUCGCAGAAGAAGCACCGGCUAACUCCGUGCCAGCAGCCGCGGUAAUACGGAGGGUGCAAGCGUUAAUCGGAAUUACUGGGCGUAAAGCGCACGCAGGCGGUUGGAUAAGUUAGAUGUGAAAGCCCCGGGCUCAACCUGGGAAUUGCAUUUAAAACUGUCCAGCUAGAGUCUUGUAGAGGGGGGUAGAAUUCCAGGUGUAGCGGUGAAAUGCGUAGAGAUCUGGAGGAAUACCGGUGGCGAAGGCGGCCCCCUGGACAAAGACUGACGCUCAGGUGCGAAAGCGUGGGGAGCAAACAGGAUUAGAUACCCCUGUAGUC